CAUCACUAGGCUGGUCCUACCAGACUCUCGUACAUUUCAUAAUAUACAGAGAGUCUGGCCACUUUCCAUUGCCAAGCGUUAACUUCCUUGAAGAUGAGUACUCUGUUUAAAACUAUUGGAUCUGCCCAGAGCAACUCUGGAUCUGCCAUAACCAAUCGCUAACGUUUGGUCGUGACA